rnacentral:rRNA from 1 species
GAUGAACGCUGGCGGCGUGCUUAAUACAUGCAAGUCGAGCGGACAGAUCCGGUGCUUGCUCCUCGGACGGUAGCGGCGGGCGUGAGAGGAACACGAGCAUAACCUACCUAUAAGACAGGGAUAACUUCGGGAAACCGGAGCUAAUACCGGAUUAUAUAUUCAACCGCGUGGUUCAAUAGUUACAGAGGGUUUUGCUGGACCCGAGAGAUGGAUCCGCGCCGGAUUAGCUGGUUGGUAAGGUAACGGCUUCCCAAGGCGACGGUGCGUAGCCGACCUGACAGGGUGAUCCGCCACUGUGGAACUGAGCCGCGGUCCUGAGUCCGACGGGCGGCAGAAGUACGGACUCUUCCGCGAUGGGCGGAAGCCUGACGGAGCAACGCCGCGUGAGUGAUGCAGGGCCUCGGAUCGUAAAACGCUGUUAUUAGGGAAGAACGAAUGUGUAAGUAACUAUGCACGUCUUGACGGUACCUGAACAGAAAGCCACGGCUAACUACGUG